GGGGCAGUAGCUCAGACCGGGAGAGCGCAUCCCUCGCACGGAUGAGGUCGGCGGUUCGAAUCCGCCCUGCUCCACCU
rnacentral:tRNA from 1 species